UCCGUGUUAACCACGGCAGUCUCUUUAGAGUGCCCAACUGAAUGCUGGCAACUAAAGACAAGGGUUGCGCUCGUUGCGGGACUUAACCCAACAUGUCACCACACGAGCUGACGACAGCCAUGCAGCACCUGUCUCCCUGUGGUAUUGCUACCAAGACCCUAUCUCUAGGGCUGUCAGAGGAUGUCAAAUCCAGGUAAGGUUCUUCGCGUUGCUUCGAAUUAAACCACAUGAUCCACCGCUUGUGCGGGCCCCCGUCAAUUCCUUUGAGUUUUAGUCUUGCGACCGUACUUCCCAGGCGGGGUACUUAUUGCGUUAGCUCCGACUCAGCAGGGGUCAAAUCCCGCUAAGUCUAGUACCCAUCGUUUACAGCGUGGACUAC
rnacentral:misc_RNA from 1 species